AGUGAACGCUGGCGGCAGGCCUAACACAUGCAAGUCGAGCGGCAGCGCGGGGGCAACCCUGGCGGCGAGCGGCGGACGGGUGAGGAAUACAUCGGAAUCUGCCUUGUUGUGGGGAAUAACGUAGGGAAACUUACGCUAAUACCGCAUAAGACCGAAAGGUGAAAGUGGGGGAUCGCAAGACCUCACGCGACAAGAUGAGCCGAUGUCGGAUUAGCUAGUUGGUGGGGUAAUGGCCCACCAAGGCGACGAUCCGUAGCUGGUCUGAGAGGAUGAUCAGCCACACUGGGACUGAGACACGGCCCAGACUCCUACGGGAGGCAGCAGUGGGGAAUAUUGGACAAUGGGCGCAAGCCUGAUCCAGCCAUGCCGCGUGUGUGAAGAAGGC
rnacentral:rRNA from 1 species